rnacentral:tRNA from 1 species
AAGACACUAGUAAAAGAAAUAUUACGUUGCUUUGUCGAAGCAAUAUUGUGGGUUUGCCCCCACGUGUUUUG